UCUUAUCUAUCAUCCAACUAAGACUCGUUCUCUCUCUAUAUAUCUCUUCUCUUUCUCUCUCUACACAAAACCCAAACUUAAAACCAUUGGUUUCAUCCACGAACACUUAGAUUUGGCCAUUGUGCUAGUUGAAGAAAAGGAAGAAGAGGUUAAAAGCUUUAUUUUGAUCCAAAAAUCUUAGCAUUUGGGGCAUUUUGAGAUUUGGGGCAAAGCUAGGGUUUGGUCAUCUUGAGGUACGAAGACUUGGUUCAUGUUGUUCAUCAUUGCUUGGAUGAUUGUAGAUUUGAAGGUUUUAAUUCUUGUAAAGGUUGGCUUGAAAUGUCACUUAUAGCCUUAAUUGUCAAAAUGUGUAUUUUUUAUUCCAUUUAUGUAAUGUGAACAUAAGUACAUCAUUUAUAAUGUAUUUGACAUGUAUAAGAUGAGACCGGAGGCUAAUGACAUGUAUUUUGUAUCCUAUGUAAAUUUUGAAUUCAUGAAAUAAUAUGAGAAUAUUGAAAAAUGAUAA